rnacentral:sRNA from 1 species
UUUAAAAACAACCCUAAUAAAGCUACAACGGCGCAAGUCCUAACAACUAAGCUCCUAGAAAAAAAAGAAUCCGGAUCCCGUUACGCUUCCACCACAAACACCUGGCCUUCCUGGCCGACCUUCUUUUCCAAUAUCUCUGGCGCUUCCACACCCUCCUGCGGCAUUCUCAUCCUAGCAAUCUCAUCAACUCUCAACUCAUCCUUACUCUCAUCAACCUCCAUGAAAGUCCUGUUCAUUCCAGGAGGCGGAGAGACGAGACAAGCCAGAUAAUAAACAAGACCGGAAAUACCAGUACCUGUAAUCCAAGAGAGAUAAUAUACACGCUGGGCCCCUACCGGGACGUAGAUGUUGGGGUUGAUAGAAUUGAUGAAACCGGGUGUACCAAUACCAUCCGCUCUUCUCCGCAGAGUACAAGUCGUUUACACGCAUAUGUCCUCUUCGAACGAACCAAUAGUCGGUGAUCAUUGGACCGGCGAUACAUGAGAGAAGAACACCAUAAGCACUGAGAUAAGUGCUGAAAGUGGAGGAAGAUGUGUAGAGCAACCAUGGGUUCAUGCAGAUACCGAUGAUGGCGGCAAUAUAUCCACCCCUGCGAAUAGAGAGGUAUCGGGGGAAUAGGGCAGUGAGAUCGCAACCAGCAGAGAUGGAGUUGGCAGCAACGUUGAGCAAAAGCCUAUCAUUACGUAUUAGUCAAAGACCAUUAAAAAACUAAUAAGAGCGACAGUUGUUGGUACUCACUGAACGUAGACGAAACCAGCAGAGAUAAAAACAAGUCCCGCUCGUGUAGAUGAGGAGGCGCCGUCAAGCAUUCUGUCCAUGAUCUAUGAUUAAAGGUAAGUACAGAACUACAUGACUUGAAGAUGAGGUUCUUACCUGGACAACAUCCCAGAUCUGAGUACCAAAUUGAGGAGCACUAGCAGAAGCGAUCACGAUACCCAAGAAAGAAGUGAUAGUAAAGCCGAGCGGCAUUGAAAUCAAUUGAGGCCACACGGCAGCACUGGGCUUCUUAGCCCUACUGGCAAAGUCAGGAGCAUUGACUACGAGAGUAAACAUGUUGUUGAAGCAGCUAGAAAUGCUAAUGAGCAUUUGCCAUCCCAAGGCAGAGCCAGACAAGGUGGCAGGCUGCGAGAAGAUUGGACCAAUACCGCCUGCUCGUGUGAUUGACCAUCCAAAGAGAGUAAAGCCCACGAUAGGACCGAUGAUCGCUUUGGCUGCGAAAAGCCAUCGAAGUUUGUGGAUGGGUACCCAGAUUGUAGGUAAAGAAAGGAGCCAAAAUAUUACAAAGGCAAGGACAUAAGCUGUUAAGUCAUGUGACCAACCUGAAGUAGUUUCGGUGCUUGUAGGCAUUAUGUUUUUGAUAUUGGGAUAGCUUGGCCAGAUCGCUCUGAGCAAUACAUGGACACAUUCACCUCCGAGCCAUCCUUGCACGCCCCACCAGAUCGCUAAACGACGAUGAGUUCCUUGGAUUGAAAGGCGGGUUGAGACACGUACCAGCCAUUCCCGCUCGGUUGAGAACAGGCCACAGACUGCCGAAUAAUCCAAACGUGGUACGACAGACAGCAGGGAAGACGAUCCCAUGGACAGCGCCCUAUCGUUCGAUAAGUGCAGUCCAAACCAUAUGAAAGUCGAGACAUACAGGGCGCGCACUAAGCACGAUGAGCGGACCGACGAGGGAGUACCCGAUUAUGACACAGAUGAAGGCUAAGUAUCAUCAGUGCCAUUUCUCAUGCCACUGACAGAGACUUGUGUCUCACCUUGCCACCAAUUAAGACCUGCACUGAUCAUCGACGAAGCAAUAGUAAAUGUAUUUAAGUUGAAACUGUCAGCGAUCCAAAAAGAAGCCUAUCGCAGCAAGUCAGCUACUAUUCCAAUAGCACGAUUGAGAAACUCACAAAAUUCCAACCAUCCCAAGUCUUUUGCUCUUUUUUGACAGGUAAGAGGUCCUCAGUUGCGAGGAACAUCUCUGUACUUGUGAGACCCUCAGCAUGGUUACUCUCAAGCUUCUUCAGGAUCUUCUUGGCUCUUAACCUUGUGGUCAUUUUGCAGAUGCGAAUUGUACGUGUUCGUACCAGAGGUUUUCAAGUUGAGAAUAAACCUCUGAGAUGUUUCCAAGUUCAAGGUGCAAGUUAUGUAUAUAUAUGUA